rnacentral:rRNA from 1 species
UACGAAGGGUGCAAGCGUUACUCGGAAUUACUGGGCGUAAAGCGUGCGUAGGUGGUUCGUUAAGUCUGAUGUGAAAGCCCUGGGCUCAACCUGGGAAUGGCAUUGGAUACUGGCGAUCUAGAGUGCGGUAGAGGGCAGUGGAAUUCCCGGUGUGGCAGUGAAAUGCGUAGAGAUCGGGAGGAACAUCUGUGGCGAAGGCGACUGCCUGGACCAGCACUGACACUGAGGCACGAAAGCGUGGGGAGCAAACAGG